ensembl:lncRNA
UUUUAAAUAAUUGGAGGGGGUUCUUGAGCAUCCUCCAUGUGAUUUUCUGAUGGAUUAAUUUUAAACAGAGGGCCAGGGAACAUUUGGGACCACUAGUAUGAAUGUGUUUCUGUUGGUUAACAGCUAAUAAUUGGCCUAGUUUCUUGUCCCAUUUCUUCUUCAGGAAAACAUAAUUAAUUCAAAUGUGCAGGCCAGUGAUAUGCAUAGCAUGUGCUGCAAACUGUAAAAUAAGGGGAAACGUAAGGCAUAUAGAAGCAGCUAUAAAUCUGGAGUUUCAGUUAUGUAGCUGAGGUCAGAAUCUGAACCAUAAGUUGUUUUAUGAAUAUCUUUUAAUGGAUCAUAAGUUUCUGCAUUGAACAUAGACUGCUAUAGGAAGGGAUAUGGAAACCUGAGACCAUGAAAAUCAGCACAUUCACUUUCUCACAGCUCAGAUGUGCCAUGGAUGUUUAGUGCCAUUUCAACAGAAGCAAGUGUUCAUACCCUUUUUAAUGAAGCUGCAUUAUCUAUUCUUUUCCUUGUUUUUGUUUGUUUGUUUGCUUGCUUGAUUGUUUUUUCUUCCCUGAUGUCAUUUGGCUUCUCAUUUUUUUCAUCAAGUUAUAAGUUUCUUUACAGAUAUUCA